UUUAAUUUGAUGCAAGACAUUUCUGCAUUUUCUAUUUUUUUGUAGUUACAAACAAUUCACUGCAACAAAACUUGCAGUUUCAAAGUAACAUAUACAAAACGGAAACAGAUACGUACAUACGAUUUACAUUAAUGAUAAUCUGAAUAGGAUAAUGGGUAAAACAAAAUUAAAUAAAUGUUGAAACUUUUUUUUCUCACUUUAUAAAAUGCUUCCAUCUAUUCUCUGUGGAAUGUAUUGCGAUGACAUAAAAAAAAAUUACAUUUUGAAAACAUAUAAAAACAUUGAACCUGAAUUGAGUAAGCGCUUCAUGUGGAAUCAAAUCACAUUACAUACAAUACAGGAACAAAUUGGAACAUUUCAUGCACUGUAUAACCAUACAAGUAAAAACUUAAAUAUAAUACAUUUCUUUAAUUCCCAACAGAACAAAUGAAAUGAUUCUCUCUGUAACAUAACGACAAGGACUGAUGAUAUGAUUGGUAUAAUCUAUUGAUGAGAUAGCAGUAAUGGCAGGUAGAAUCUAUUGUUGAGAUGGCAGUAAUGGCAGGUAGAAUCUAUUGAUGAGAUAGCAGUAAUGGCAGGUAGAAUCUAUUGUUGAGAUGGCAGUAAUGGCAGGUAGAAUCUAUUGUUGAGAUGGCAGUAAUGGCAGGUAGAAUCUAUUGAUGAGAUGGCAGUAAUGGCAGGUAUAAUCUAUUGAUGAGAUGGCAGUAAUGGCAGGUAGAAUAUAUUGAUGAGAUGGCAGUAACGUUAAUGGCAGGUAGAAUCUAUUGAUGAGAUGGCAGUAACGUUAAUGGCAGGUAUAAUCUAUUGAUGAGAUGGCAGUAAUGGCAGGUAUAAUCUAUUGAUGAGAUGGCAGUAACGUUAAUGGCAGGUAUAAUCUAUUGAUGAGAUGGCAGUAAUGGCAGGUAUAAUCUAUUGAUGAGAUGGCAGUAACGUUAAUGGCAGGUAGAAUCUAUUGAUGAGAUAGCAGUAACGUUAAUGGCAGGUAGAAUCUAUUGAUGAGAUGGCAGUAACGUUAAUGGCAGGUAGAAUCUAUUGUUGAGAUGGCAGUAAUGGCAGGUAGAAUCUAUUGUUGAGAUAGCAGUAAUGGCAGGUAGAAUCUAUUGAUGAGAUGGCAGUAAUGGCAGGUAUAAUCUAUUGAUGAGAUGGCAGUAAUGGCAGGUAGAAUCUAUUGAUGAGAUAGCAGUAACGUUAAUGGCAGGUAGAAUCUAUUGAUGAGAUGGCAGUAAUGGCAGGUAGAAUCUAUUGAUGAGAUAGCAGUAAUGGCAGGUAGAAUCUAUUGAUGAGAUGGCAGUAAUGGCAGGUAGAAUCUAUUGUUGAGAUAGCAGUAAUGGCAGGUAGAAUCUAUUGAUGAGAUAGCAGUAAUGGCAGGUAUAAUCUAUUGAUGAGAUGGCAGUAAUGGCAGGUAGAAUAUAUUGAUGAGAUGGCAGUAAUGGCAGGUAGAAUCUAUUGUUGAGAUAGCAGUAACGUUAAUGGCAGGUAGAAUAUAUUGAUGAGAUGGCAGUAACGUUAAUGGCAGGUAGAAUCUAUUGAUGAGAUAGCAGUAACGUUAAUGGCAGGUAGAAUCUAUUGAUGAGAUAGCAGUAAUGGCAGGUAGAAUCUAUUGAUGAGAUAGCAGUAAUGGCAGGUAGAAUCUAUUGUUGAGAUGGCAGUAAUGGCAGGUAGAAUCUAUUGUUGAGAUAGCAGUAAUGGCAGGUAGAAUCUAUUGAUGAGAUAGCAGUAAUGGCAGGUAUAAUCUAUUGAUGAGAUGGCAGUAAUGGCAGGUAGAAUAUAUUGAUGAGAUGGCAGUAAUGGCAGGUAGAAUCUAUUGUUGAGAUAGCAGUAACGUUAAUGGCAGG